rnacentral:rRNA from 1 species
GAUGAACGCUGGCGGCGGGCCUAAUACAUGCAAGUCGAGCGGAAAGACGGGAAGCUUUCGCCCCUAAGGGUGGCGGGGGACGGGUGGGUAACGCGUGGAUAACCUUCUUAUUAUACUUGGGGGACAUCGUGAAACCGGAUCUAAUACCGGAUAAUAUGUUGAACGGCAUGGUGCAAUAGAGAAAGGGGGUUUUCGCGUCAGAUAUAGAUGGAUCCGCGUCGCAUUAGCUAGUUGGUAAGGUAACGGCUUACCAAGGCAACGAUGCGUAGCCGAGCUGAGAGGAUGAUCAGCCACACUGGAACUGAGACACGGUCCAGACUCCUACGGGAGGCAGCAGUAGGGAAUCUUCGACAAUGGGCGCAAGCCUGACCGAGCCACGCCGCGUGAGUGAUGAAGGCCUUCGGAUCGUAAAGCUCUGUUAUUGGGAAAGAAAAACUGCGUAAGUAACUCCGCCCGUCCUGACGGUACCUAAUCAGAAAGCAACGGCUAACUACGUG